rnacentral:hammerhead_ribozyme from 1 species
AUCCAGUUGAAGAGUCCUACACCGGACGAGACGUGCUUACUGGAU